GCACCCCUAACACACCCUACCUGAGGUAAGCUACUUUGUGUUCUGAUGUGAUUUGAAAAUUUAAAAUAUUAAUUAAAUUCUAAGGCUUGAAUAAAUCAGUUAUUAAAUCCCUGAAUAUAUAUAGAAACUUGUUCUUAUAUUUUCAUGGAAAAUACAACUUGAUUUUAUUUGUCCUUGAGAUAUUUAACCAUAUUUAAAUUAACAAUUAAUUCUUUUUGUCCUUUUUUUUAUAAUUCAAUAAUAUAAAUAAAAAAAAAACAAACACACACAAACAUUUCUUUUUCUUUUCUUUUCUUUCUUUUCUUUUCUUCUACAUCCACAUUUACAUAAAAUACAAAAUACAAACUAUGAAAAGAAAAACUCAAAAUUACACAAAUAUAACAUUAAACAAUUCUAAAAUUACAAAAAAUGACCCAAAACAAUCCGGGACAGUGCUGGUAACCUCUGAGUCGCUGGAAUAGUGCUGUGAAGACCUCUGGAACAGCAAGGACAGUGGCGGCGCGUGGACCCACGCGCCGCCGUGAAAUCAAACCAGAAACAGGGGGGCCAGAAAUGGCUUUCUCCCCUCUUCUCUUCCUCGCCGGCGGUGACAACCACCGCUAUCUGCAGAACGGAGAAACACACACAAACAGCAGUUGAUUUUAAUUUUUCUUUCCGUUACAGAUCUGCUUCUCUGCAGAUCAGUUCUUUGUUUCCUUUCUCUUCUCUGUCAUGGACGGGUCUGCUGUAGAGGAGAUGAGGGGAGCUGUUCGGUUCUUUGGAGAAGAGGGAAGGCAGCUCUGGUGCCCAACGGCUGUGGAAGAAGGACUGUUGUUGGAGGCCGAUCUGCGCCGAUGAACGAAGCUUCUUCGCAUGCGGGCUGGAAGGAAUGGCGAUGGUGACAGGGGCGACUCCUGGUAGUCGGUGGCCGUCGCUGUUGAGGGCUGAGAAAGGAGUUGAUGGGUCGACUGGGAGAGAGGCGAACUCGUGGGGAGCAGCUGAGAGGGAGGAUAGUGAACGGCGGUUGGGCAAAGGCUGAGGCGAUGUGGUAUGGUCUGCUUCUCCUUUGUUGAGGGAAGGCUUGGUCGGCUGGGAAACUGACGAUGUGGUGGGGCUUGUUUGGUCUGAAAGAGAGGGGAGUGUGGGUGUGCAAGGGCUGAGGAAGAAGAUGAAGAUGGAAUCAGUGGGGGACGGGCUCUAUGCCGGGACGAAGAGAGGGACUGUGGGAAGCUGGUGGCUGUGAUAGGAGGAGAAAACAAAUCAAAAAGGGGAGUGUGAGGCUGGCCGGUCGGUUGGGGGGGAACGGCCAAGGAAAGAGAUGUUCGGGUCUAGUUUCUGCUUGGAUCCGGGUUGGGGGUCAGCGGCUGUGGAUGAAGAGGAUGAGGGGGGAGCUGUGUUUGGCUGCUGGGUGAGAAAAAAAUUCAACGUGGGGGCCGGCGGCUGGUUUCCCAAAGAAGAAGACUAGGGAGAAAAAUUCAAAACCAGUGGGGGAGGCGCCGCCGGCCCGUUUUUUUUUAGUGGGGAGAAAGAGUUGGGUUUUAGGGUUUUUUUUGUUGAAUCUGUCAAAACUAACCCCCCCCCCC
rnacentral:lncRNA from 1 species